rnacentral:rRNA from 1 species
UCGAGAAUCUUUCACAAUGGGGGCAACCCUGAUGGAGCGACGCCGCGUGGAGGAUAAGGUCUUCGGAUUGUAAACUCCUGUCAUGCGCGAACAAGGCUACUUGGAUAAUACCUGGGUAGAUUGAUGGUAGCGCAAGAGGAAGAGACGGCUAACUCUGUGCCAGCAGCCGCGGUAAUACAGAGGUCUCAAGCGUUGUUCGGAAUCACUGGGCGUAAAGGGUGCGUAGGUGGCAUGGUAAGUCAGAUGUGAA